AUGAGAAUAAUUCCAUUCCAUGGGAAUAAGAGAAGUUAUAAGAAGUUAUUUUGUUCUUUGGAAUUAUUAUUGAUAGGAAUAAUUUUUUUCAACCUUGUAACAAACAUGAGUUUCCUCAUUGUUUACCUAUGUAUUCCCGGGAAUGUAAUUUCUAAACUUGAAACAAACACAUCUUUAGUAAUAUUUCAAUGUUAG